UCUCCUAAGCCAACAGGCUUCUGUUGUCAUUAAUUCAUCAGGCUGGGCCCAGACCCCAAGGUCAGGCCUGUCUGCCUGAGAGGCAGAGCUAAAAACAGCUCCAGCCUCAGAGAGGGGCCAGCCCAGUGCCUAAUUGCUCAGCUCUCGGCGCGUCCGUCCGCCCUGUGCUCCCCUGGCAGGCAGCUUGAAGAGUGAAGACUCACUUUGAUUUGGAGAUGGAGAAGAAAAGACGGCUGUUUGCAGAAAGAAGCUAUUGCAGACUGGGAGAAAAGAUUAUUCGUGGAAGCUGGAAACUGAAUGCAAUGGUUCAUGCCUGUAUCUCGGCACUUAUGAAGCUGAGCUAUGUAGCAAGACUCUGUCUCAAAAAAAACAAAACAAAAAAAACAAAUCAGUGGAUCCCGUGUGGAAGUCUAGACCAUGAAGCCAUGAGGUAAGCUGAAGACUAAGGAAAGCCAGCAGGACAGCUACGCCCUGAGAGCUGGAGCUCCAAGGACAGGCGAGGACUCAUACAAGCUCGGGCAGGCGGGUUGGGAACCAAUUCAACCACUCCGUCUUUUCCUUCUAACCCUCAGUGAAUUCAGAGAUGCCCACCCCAGUGAGGAGAGCCAUCUGCUUUAUUCAAUCCACCAGUUCCAAAGCUAAUUCCCAAUGGAAAUAGAUGGGAAACAUACCCAGAAAUCACAUUUAACCAGAUUUCUGGGCACUUGUUUGCUCUGUCAAGUUUGAUAUAAAAUUAACCAUCACGUGCUUUGUAUCAGAGAAGCUGUCAUGUGGGGAAGGAUGGGAGUGGAAAAGAACCCAGGAGCACUGCAUUGUUUUCCUAGUGCUUCUGGAACAGCAAACACAGAGGGUUAGACACACAAGCACCGGGGGCUGGAGAGAUGGCUCAGUGGCUAAGAGUGUGAGCUGCUCUUCCGAAGGAUCCAGGUUCAGUCCCAGCACCCACAUGACAGUAUACAACUACCUGUAACUCCAGCUCCAGGGGAUCUAUCUGAUGCCCUCCUCUGGCACUGCACACACAUGGUACACAGACAUGCUUUCAGACAAAACUGUAGUUGAGGUUUUCCUGGUCCUGCCUGGCCCACGGUCAGGACAAAUCUCUCUCACCCGCCAGUCCCAAAGCCACUCAGACCCAAGUAAACACACAGAGACUUAUAUUACUUGUAAACUGUAUGGCCAUGGCAGGUUUCUUGCUAUCUAGUUCUUAUAUCUUAAAUUAACCCAUUUCUAUUAAUCUAUACCUUGCCACAUGGCUCGUGGCUUACCGGUAUUUUACAUGUUGCUUCUCAUGGCAGCGGCUAGCAGUGUCUCCUGACUCAGUCCUCCUGACUCAGAAUUCUCCUCUCUCUUUGUCCCGCCUAUACUUCCUGCCUGGCUACUGGCCAAUCAGCACUUUAUUUAUUAACCAAUCAGAGCAACACAUUCACAGCAUGCAGAUAUCCACAGCACAAAACACUCAUUCAUAUACAUAAAAAAAAAAACCCUCUUAAACACACACCAAUAUUUACUGUCUCAUGAUUCGGGAGGCCAGAAGUCCAAAAUCAAGGGGUUAUGAGGACUUGUUCUUACCAGAAACUCUAAGAAAGGAUGCCUCUCACCUUAGCUAUGUCUGUGAAAGAGAUGCCUGCAGAAGUAGGAGAUAGUAGGAAAGGAGUUUAGUGUGACUAUAGCCAGGACUCAGGCUGUGAGCCACCCUGUACCAGGAUACUUGGAGAAUAUAGACCCAGCCCAAGGUUGUUAGACAACUACACUCAAUGUCACACAUGACAAACACAACUCUGGUGUCAGGUGACUACAUCACUGCUUCACAUCAGAUCCCAGAAAAGACAUUUCUAGAAUCACUGGAAGCAUCCACAUCCCAAGUUCCUUUUCAGUAAAAUCCUUUGGCUGGUCAAUCCCAAUCUGUGGUAGCCACUUCUUGGAAGGAAGACUGAGAAGGGUGGAGAGAAGGUGAUAGCAGCCUUGUCAAAGGAUCCUGCUAGCCUUUAUCUAGUCAUCUGACACUCCUCCUGGGUGCCUGAAACAUGCCCCACAGUACCAAAAUCCUGGACUCAGCCCACAUAGCAAGUCCAACAGACUUGUUUUGUAUGCCUUACCUGACCUGAACUUUAGCCUCCUUGCCUCAGUGAGUGUGCCCUCUAAGAUUAGCUGUGAAGAAAGAGUCCACCUACUCCAGAGGGGUGGAAUUGCAAAGCUUCCCACUUAAGGGAAGGAAGGGGUGGGUGAUCUCAUACUACCUGUCCUCCUUCUGCCUCAGCCUUCCAACUACUGAGACUGCAGAUACUCACACCCGGAAGCCAUGUUCUCUUUCACAUUGUACUGGCUUAACACUGUCAAACCCCAACCACCCCAUAUUUGUUCAGGAAGAUGUACCCCUACUUGAUUUUGUUCCUUUUAAGCUCCAGGUUGGUUCACCCCAGCUCUUGACACUGAAAACACACCUUUCCCUGGUGAUGAGGAUGUGAGGCGAUUCAACAGGCCUGAAAUGCAGCACGUGGGUACUUUCUGGGUGGAAAAGACCCACAGUGGAGGACAGAGCUCCUGGAGCAGGUGAGAGCUGUAUACAAGUCACAAGGAGCUACACAUAACAUGCAAAGGAGGAAGGCAGAGGUGGCCUGAUUCUAUCAUCAGUACAGCCAGCUGUGGUGGUUACAAUAGAAGAGCGGUCGGGGUUCAUGCAGUCUGUCCUCUGCCUUCGCACAUGCUAGCCCCUGUCAGACACUCUGCCUUUGCACAUGCUAGCCCCUAUCAGACACUCUACCAGCCCCACAGCCUGUGUAUCUUCCUUCAAGGUGUAACUUCAGGGUCACCUGUUCUGAGGAAUCACCUUCAUUCCCCGAGACCCAGAACUGGGUCCCCACAUGCACCACACACCCUCCCUUACAGAGUAUGCCACCAUCAUCGGUUUACAUUCCUACACUUGAGACCACAGAGUUCUUCCAGAAAAGGCCCAAACUUUAGAUUCUUAAUGAGUUUUUGGAAAGAGGAGGGAAAAAAAGAAAGAAAGGAAGAUACAGAGAAAGGGGGUAGAAGGAGAAGGAAGGAAAGUGUGGUGGUUUGUGUAAGGAUGGCCCUCAUAGACUCCUAUUUGAAUGCUUAGUCACCAGGCAGUGGAACUGUUUGAAAGGACUGGAAGGAUUAGAAGGUGUGUCCUUGUGGGAGGAAGCGUGUCACUGGGAAUGGGCUCUGAGAUUUCAAAACCCAUACCAGGUCCAGGUUCUGCCUUUCUGUCUGUGGACCAGGGUGUAGUCUUGGCCGAUGCCCCACCACCUGCCUGCAUCCACCACACUCCCUGUCAUUAUGAUGAUGGACUCACCUCUAAAACUGUAAGCCAGCCCCCAGUUAAAUGUUUUCUUUUAUAAGAUUUGUCUUGGUCAUGAUGUCUUUUCACAGCAAUAGAACAGUGACUAAGACAGAAAAAACAGAAAGAUAGAGAGA